UUGUCAACCUAUUUGUAAACAUUUUUUGUGGACAAAGACAGACUAAGCCAACGUAAUAUUUAGCCAUUCAAGAUCCGAAGCCAGAUUAAAGUCACCACCAAAAGAUUCGGCACCGAUGGAGGCACCGGGCGUGAAAUAUGUAAGAUGAAGUUGCCAAAGAUAGCAAUAACAGUUCUGCCUGCGUAGAACUUCCGGUGGACAAACUUGCUGCUGUCCAACGCCAGAUCCUAGAGUCAAACCUACAUCGUCGCUGAGCCAUCACCAGGAUGGUCGCUCUAAGUUGCAAGAAGUGGCCUACUUAACCGCCGCGAGUUGCCCCCUGACAAAAAAUGAGUACCGCCUCAUUAUAGUAUGGCUCCUUUCAAACAAAGAAAAUUUCAAUUCCCCCCUUUAAUGACCUCUCUUGGAGGCACCCAUAGCCGGAUCCUGGUUCCCCGCAGUAAUGCGGGACUAUUCUUCACCACAAAAAGAGUCAAUGUUUCAUUUGUAUUGCAUUUCUACGUAAUGUUGUGAAUAAAAAAAUGUGCUUAACCGUC